UUAAUUAGGGAAGGAAGAGGCUGCAAGACCAGGGAGAAAAACAGUCUAGAGAAACAACGGUGCUGCCUUGGGGCAAAGUCCUCGUUUCCCAUCAAGGGAUAAACUCGACAGUCUCUGAGCCAUUUUGCAGACACGGAAACCCCACCAGGUGAAAAUCUCAACUCUUAAGAAAAGGAAGAGGAAUGAGACAGAUGAUCUCAGGGCCAUGUGAGGGUGGAGCAAGAAGGUCGCUGUGGCAAAUGAGGAAGAGGGUUCUCACUAGCUGUUGUUGCAAACCAGCAAGACGGUGCUCACUGAAUCUGCCAGCAUCUUGAUCUCAGACUUCCCAGCUUCCAGGCCUUUGAGAAAUAAAUCUGUGCUGUUUAAGCCA